GUGGCAUUCGAAUACAUAUCCAAUUCAUACGUCAAGCCUUCAGUCCGUAUUAUGAAUCAGCCAAAUUGAGAUAAAAUACUUCACUCAUACUAAGUAUGGAGUUACAGUAAAAACAAUAAGCAAAAAGAGAGGGCUCAGCUUUGGCCCACAAAAUUUAUAAGAUAGGAAUUCUUCUUCGUGAUCUUCUAGGACUAGGAACCAGUACAAUGGUUGAACUUUCUCGUUCUUCAGACCUAACCUCCAGAAUAUCGAGAAGGGUAGUGUCUAUAUCAGGAAAAAGCUCGAAGACCUGUGCUUUUCAUUCUCCAAACUUAGCUCUGAAGGUUUGAUGAGAUGCACUAGCAACCCGAGCAGUCGCCACUCUUUGAGCGGCUUCGAGCAAAACUUUAUUUCUGAUCCUACCUUUGAUGGUGGUUUUCGCAGCUUCACUCUCUACCAGUC
rnacentral:lncRNA from 1 species